rnacentral:tRNA from 1 species
GAAGAUGUAGCUUAGUGGGAGAGCUUGUGCUUAGCAUGCAUGAGGCCCUGGGUUAAAUCUCCAGUAGUUUUU